UUUUGAAUUUUAGUGUUCUAUUUUUUUAACUUUAAACUAAACCACACAGCACAAAAAUUAUGUAAAUACUGACGCGAUAAAUGUUGAACGUGUAGAGUACAUCGCGGCCGGAAAGUGAGCUAUACAAUAGCUGUGUUUUUUCCAAAUAUUGUGAUAUAUUUUGAAUGUGCAUUUUUUCCCUAUAGCGAUACAUCUCCACAUAUACAUACAUAUGUAUAUCCGGUUCGACGCGCUCACACGAAAAACGCUAAUAAAAUUAAUAUUGUGCCAUAAAAUGUAUCUAAUAAGUUAAUGGAAGGUGGAUAUGCAUAAUGAAGUUAGCGAGCUGUCUGGCGUGGGGUUGGGAUCAAUUCUACGUUUCAUAAGAGCCACAAAAUGGUCCAAGAAGGAAGGUAAAUGGGGUUCCCGUGCA